rnacentral:lncRNA from 1 species
AUGAUUCCUAAAACCAGGGACAGCCAGCAGCUCCCACUGCCUCUGUCCAACCUGGAACAGCAAUCCUGCCAAAACCAUUUGGUAAUUCCUGACUGGAGGGCUGCUCCAACCUUCUCUCCCAGAGACUUGGUGGCUGGAGGAGCCUGGGGAGGGAAUCCAGGGCCCCACCUGGGCACAGGUGGAGAAGGAAGGUGGGUGGAGAAUGAAGUCAAACCAGGGAAGAAAAGUGUAUGUGUGUUUUCUAUUUAUUUUUUUUUUCCUCCCCUACCCAGCUCUAUUACAGUUGUCAAUAAAUUAAAUCAAGGUGACUGCUUUUCCCCCUGAGGACAAUUGGGGAGUGAUGUCCCCCUCUGUGUCUGAUCCCUGGUGGGCACCAGGACAGCAGCCAGGUCCCACUGGUGACACCUGCCCCUGUGCACAGAGCAGCUCUGCUGGGCUCCCAAAGCAGCAGUGUUUAAGAGCAAAGGAUGAACAGAAAGCUGUGCCUCAGCAAUAACCACAGCCACGCUGCUGAGCCUCAGGCUCAUCUCCCUGGAGCUGCUGCUCCUGGAGAAACUGCAGUGCUCUUCCCUGGGAGGAGGUGACAGGACCAGCAAGGUGUGCUGGGACAGGUGUGCUACAGGAUAUUUGCUUCACCUCUUCUCUGUUUCUGCUUCAACACUCACAUUUUUGGUGUCUGCUUUCAAUCAGCACUUAAUCCCAUCAAUUUCUUCUCCCUAGUGGCCAUUCCAUGAGCUUUCCAGAAGCUGGAUCUGUGAGCCACAGUCCUUCUCACUGUGCAGUCCCGACUCUUCCACUCUGAGAAAGAAUGCAAUGAGACUUGACUUUCCUCCAGUAUUUCUACAGUUUUCAGUUUCUGGUCUUCAGGAAUUCUAUGAGUUCCUUUUGGAACAAAUGAAAUAAUGCUAACACAGGAUAAAUUUGCACCUGUGCACAGGGAGAUUAUUCUUCAUGUGCCCAGAACAUGCAAUUGCAGAACUGGAGUCUCUGUUUAACGCUGCUAACUCACCUGUGAUUAGAACUUCAUCCAUACCAUUGCUGGUUUCACUUUUUUAAGAGGCUUCUCCUCUCUUUUGGGCUGGGAUCUGUGGAAUGUGCAGUCAGCAGCUGGACACAAACCCUGCAGCAGUGCAGCAGAUGUUGCACAGCUGGACCUGCUCAGCCUGGGGGGACAGGGCAGCUGCAGCACCUUGGCAGGAGCUGCUCUUUCCAUGCUCAGAAAAAAAAAUGCACCAGGCAUGCAAAAUGUGUUGGACAGAAGUUACCUAUUAAGAAUGUGGGGGGUCCUACAGAUUCUGGGGUUUCCUAUAGAGUUGAGUUGGUU